UGGGGGGCUUACGUCCUCAUUUCACUCUUUUUGCUCCUGCGAGACACGACUCAACUACUUUUUACAAUUGACAGGGUAGCUCGGAGGUCAGAUGAGUCCCCAUAAAGAUAGAUUAGUACUGGAAGGUUCAGAUGAAGGAAGGGCUGAAACAAGGCACAAACUUUGAAAUGGGGUAGGGUAAAUAAAUAUGAGCAAUCCGUGAGAAUAGCAAACCCCUAUCUCUUAUAAAGAAGAAGAUAGAUAGGUCCACGAGUUGAGACAGAGAAGUUCUGACUAAUCAAGUAGGAGCCACGAGAGUCAGAGGCUGCAUCAUCAAAGGGGUAUAGAAAUAAUUCAGAAGCACUAUGGCCUGAAGCGAAGGGCAGGAACGAACGGAAUCAAUGUGUUCCAAUUUAUCCGGAGUAAGGACAGCAGCUGAGAAGGGGAAAAAAAAUAGCGUAGAAAAAAAAAGGUAGGACCAGAUCAUGCGAAGAGCUCUUCGCCCUAUUGAUUAGGAAUCUCGAUCAGAAACCACCAGGCCAUGUCUCCCGAUAAAAGAUGAUCCCCACAAUGGAUGUCAGGCCUUGGCUUCAUAAAAUCUGAUUGGAUCCGCACUAGAGGAUAAGAAUACAGAUAGGCUGACUAAGAAGAUCUUCCAAUUUUCUUACCUGAAAAGAUGAGUUAUUCAAAGGAAUACCUGCAAAAUAGAAUAAACACAUGGCACAGCUGGGUGCUAGAAUAGUAGUUAAUAGAAGUUCUAGUCACUUAAAAAAAAAAUAACCACUGCUUAACUUAAUUAGAUCGUAGAAGAUAAGCAAGCGGGUUCGGGCAGUUAGUCCUAUUUGAAGGUAAGAAGUUCGGGUAGUAAGGGCUAGGUUUAUAUAGGGGCUAUAUUUUGGAGAAACAUAUGGUCUUGCUCAUUUCCCAUCAAGGAAUGGAGAUUGGGUUGGUGUUUGGAAGGGAUUCAGUAAACUGACCUUGGCCAGCAAGCAGAAAAAGGACUGACGUCUUGGGGCGCGCUAGCGCGCGUACUCUUCUUCUGCGAGACUCCAUCCAAAUCCACCACUUACUCGUUGGUUGGUGUUCCAUUCUGUUAUCUUAGACUAUGCUGCCUUCUUCAAUUCCAUUCUUCGUCUCCCUAGUCGAAGUCUUCUUGCUGGCCCAACCCAACAUGCAUUUUAGAGUGCCGUGCCAGGGCGAUAGGCGCUCCGCAGUCACGCAUGAUCACCAGAGCCUUUCUUGGCUAUGUAAAUAUAGGGCCGGAAUAAGUGCAAGAUCCUCAACAAAAUGGAUUAAGGUGGGCUUCGGAUUAUUAAGAAUUUUUUCUAUCUUGUCUUUUUUUUCAUUAAGUUCUUGUUUGAAUCUGCCGCUAUUAUCACAAUAUCCCUCCUUUUAGGGAUAAAGCUAUCAAUGGUGAAUCGAGCAUUCGCUAUCCUUUUUUUUUUUUUAGCUUUUUUUAAUUUGAAUGGAAGAAAAGUAAUGAAACCUGCGAUGGCUACUGAAUAACCUCCUUCUAUUUUAUUAAUUUGAAACCCUUUUACCUUUUUCUUCGUUCGCCAAAUCUUCUUCAGUUCUAUCCAAGCUCGGUUUUGUCUGAAUCUUUGUGGAAGAAGAAGCGGUUCGCCAGCCGCUACAUCCAGGGAUCCCACAAAAUCAUUAAACCUGGCGGCUGCUCGCUCUUUGAUCAGUGAUUCACCGGCCACUAGAUCGAUGAAGAAUCUCUCAAAAAUCCGCUUUUUGAUCAGUGAUUCACCAGCCACUACAUUCUUGGAUCCCACCUUAUUCUCAAACCUGGUGGCUCGCUUGAUUGGCAGUCCUGUAAGCUCAUCUUGCAUACAAAUUUUUGGGGUACCAAGGCCUGCAUCCACCAAGAACAUUUCUUCCCUUAAGCGUAAGCGUAAAACUGAAGAUUGUAAGGCGUUUCCACUACAUAAUAAGAAACUCGAAUUAGAUCUUGGAAAUGAUCGACUCCAAUAGAUGCUCAUCAUAAGCUUUUUUUUCCUCCUAUUCCUAUUGAUCAGAAGUAUCCAGCAGCGCCACGCCAGAGUGACUUCCGAAGCGCUACGGACGGGACGAAAUCCGGCAGCCAGUUGCUGGCUCUGAAUAACCAGCCCAGCAAGAAGCUAAAUUCUUCCAUAACAUAACGGGGCGGGGUUGCGCGCGAGCCGAGUGACGUAGGUGCACAAGAGUACUUCGCGCCACAACCAUCUCUUUUUUAUAGGUUCUACGGACCGAUGCCUCCUGCUUCAUCUGGUAAAAAAGAGUCAUAGAUAUGCCUGUAAUUAGAAGGAAGAACCGCCAUAAAAAUCUUCCUCGUGUAUCGUCUGUAGCAGAACUAUGAACGGGAGCUAGCAAUCCGGACCGUAUUGAAAAGGUUCCUGAGACACAGCAUGGAAGAGUCAAAAUAUUCAGAAGCGAGGUCCAAUAAUGAAGAAGGGGUAGAAUUACUGAAUGAAUAAGAGCUGUGGCUAAUACCCGAGGCAUAAAAGACGCAUUUUCUACGGGAUCCCGAAACCACCAGCCACCCCGACCUAAUUCAUGAUGAGCCCACCAACUUCCUGGCGAGAUGCCUACGGUUAAAAACAACCAACAUGUCAAGAUCCAAAUUCGAAUUGGUUCCUGGUCCUGGUCAGAGACCACUGUGUUCGCGCCGGCGGUCCAACAAAGAGGCGAAGUAGUGGUGUCUUUCUUUCCAUUACGAACGACAACACGCUUCGCCUGCUCCCUCCCCGUGUCCAUUAGCGCUCCUGUCCAGAGCGAAGAGAAGGCGAAAAAGCGCCGCCGAAGCAGCAUGAGCAGGCUUCUAUUGCUACGCAACAAUAGAGCAGGCGCGCCGCCCACAAAAUGUUUGAAUGAUCGGGUAAAGAGCGAGAUUCUUAUAUGGGAUCCGACGCAUCCAGCAGAGCGAAGCAGCGUUCCAUUCUUUUCGGCGGCAUCCUUCCGCAUUGGCGGUGAGUGGAGUGCCACAAUCCCAUUCAUCAUUUUUGAUCUACAUAACCCAAAGCCCAUAGCACUGGCGACGUCUCCGGCAUAAAUGCAAGGAGGAUGUAUAGCUGAUAUAGGAUCUUGUGGAACAGGAUUUGAUUCUGCAAGCGGUUCGGUACGAACGAAGAAAUUUCGAACAAAAGGAUCGGAACUCGCUGAUAGGAAAGGAGAGAAAAACAAAGCAAUGCCAAGAGCUCCGUCAAUCUGCUGUUCAUCGAUAGACGAAGCUCUCUCUUUUUCAUCUCGUGCCAGAUGUAACAAAAGAUUAGUCCUUUUUCCUUCUCGCGAACCACGGGAGCGCCCAGCGCCCAGAAGAGCAAAGCUCAUUUUCAAAACUGGGUCAAGCGGCGCAUUAAAAAGGGCUGGCCCGUUAAAAGGACGCUUACUUUGCGAACGAAGUUCAGAAUCAACAAGGGUUCUCCGAACGAAGGGAGUGUACAACUGGGGCGCAGCUCCACUUUUUUGUUGGAGAGAUAGAAUGGAGUUCUUCACGAAGUUCGAGACAAAGGAAAAAAUCAAAGUUUCUCUAUAGCCUCUGCGUUUUGAGACAUUAUGGCUUUGGGGUCGACCCCGGUAACAAAAAAGGAAUCCAUAAAAACUUGGGAUCCAACACCAUGAUAAAAUACUACCCUCAUGAUUAGACCAUGUCCCUGAGAUUUGAUAAAAAAAAGGUGCAUUAGCGGUUAAUACGUUGUAAUUAGAUAAGUUAUUUGGAAUAUGACGGAACGAAAGACCAAGGAAAGAAAGAAGAAUGCACCAAAAUGCAGGUGCUGCACCAAACGCUGGUGGUUGUUUCUUGUUGUAAGUGAAUGCAACGAAAAGACCCGGAAAUAACAAAUAAUGAGAAAAUUCAUUUAUAGACAUUUCGUGCUCAUUUCCUAAUUUCUGCUUAGUUAUUCCCAUCAUCCGGUAACCACAGGAUGAUCCCAAUCUCCUUUUAGUAAUAGAUCUUUUUGAUAUGUCUCAGUCUCAGCGGCAAGGAAGAGAAAAUGCAUCGAGUCGUUUAUCAAGAAAGUGGACGAGCUAUGGAUCAAGAUCAUAUUUAGUCACAUUUCUACCGGUGCACUUCUCAUGAAAUAAUUCCCUUUCCAAGGAAAGGAAAACAAGAACUCGAAUACUCGUAAUAGCGAUCCCGAUCCACCUACUUUUUUUCUAUUCUUUUAUUCGAAACGUGCUAAAGCACAAGCCAUUUUUAUGCAUGGGGCAUAAGAGUGGACAAUCUAUGUUAUCGAAGGAAGUAAAUAACAACACUUCUUUCGGUCUACCCACCCUCAUUCAGUAAACCAAUAGGAUUGCAGCAUUGGAAUUAGAGUUGGCCAGGUCCUCUAAAAAGAAAAGAAGAAACUACUUAGAAUAGAUAAAUGCCAUUGGUUUUCUCGUACUACGAUAUCUUUUUUUUUUGUUUUUGGCCAUGAUUGUGCUGCUCCUGUGAAGGCUAGUGGGAAAGCUCACCGUUCGUUGUGAUGAGUGGGGGCCUUGUAUCUGUAUUCGGAUCAGCUCCUUAACAUAGUUUCCUGCUUGAACCCUGGCUGGGAGCUGGGAGAGGUGUCCCACUACAGGUGCAAAUAAACCAUUUUACCUUUCAGGGGAAGCGAACAAAGUCAUUGGAAUAGUUUAUUUAUUGGGUGGGUCCUUCUCUUCUCAUUUCAAGAUCGAUCAUCUCGAGUCUCGGGCUGAAUAACCUACUCUUCCUCCGAUCUGUAAAGAUGAAUUUCAAUACCUUGUUCUUAUAUGAGUUUCAUGAGUACGAUCUAGACUAUACUUAUUUUAUCAGGUUUUUUUCGCAUAGCGAGUAGAGGAAUAGUUUCUAGUUUUGGAACCACCUGAGCAGGAAUCGCUGAUCCACCUUCACUUGUUUCCUCUGGCUUCGAUUCUUUUAUUGUAUAGUGGACUACUUAGGAGCUUUAAAGCCGCACUGACCCUCGUUAAAAAAAGAGCUGGGACCCACCUACUAUAGAUGGGCCUCGUUCCUUUAUAAUACGAUCUAGCUUGAUCCAUCAUCCUCAAAUUAUGAUAACUGCCUUCUAGCCGCAGCCGGAGCUACUUCUAAUCCGGAAUCCAAAGGAGUCGAGCUUUUCGUACUACCAUCGCCCGGGCAUCGCUUUCUUCCCACUGCUUUCGUCCAGUUUUAUUGCUCCUCCUCUCAACUUAUUGUUCUUGUGAAUACCGUACGUAGUAGUUCUUGUGAAUAUCAAUCUAGGCGUAGGGCUAGGCUGGCUUGCAAGAUUCGCUUCGUGCCGUUGGCAAAACACUGGUAUAUGCUUCGCCCUUCUCUUCCUUUAAGUUUAAGGGGACAAAGUCUUCGCUUCGCGCCUCGCAUUUGACGGGCGGAGUUCGGACCACCAGUCCUACGUCUCCGCCGACCACUCACCUUGCUCGGAUUAACUCACCAAAGUCUGCUUUCGCCCACCUGGGUAGGCAGCUGAGUGCCUAUACAAGUUGGAAAUCGAUUCGGUGUUACAACGCCACCACCACCGAGAUCGAUCCCGAUGUCACCUUUCAAGAACAGUAGAUUAAUCUAAUCUCUCACACUUACUAGAUGUACUAGAGUAUAGGACUUGGUGAGAGGUUGAACUAAUAUGCAUGUGCGCACAGUAGAUGGGAACAAAGGCUCUCUCUGUUGUUCUUCCGUACGCUCGCCUGAUAAGUCUUUUGGCUUAGCUAUAUGUAGACCCUGGCGUGGAUUGCUCCUUACCUAGCUCCCCAUGCUAACUGCCGAAUCUCCCUGGCUUGCAGGGAACAUAAUCCGUUAAUUACCUUGCUUAGGAUGGCAGCCGUAAACCAUAUCAACUUCCCAUGACGUGUGGGUCCUGAUAUGGAAACGUGAGCUACUUGGACUCAGGGAAUUUUAAGCAGCAUGCUGCUUGUACAUCUAUUCGUAACAAAACAGCAGAGACGUGAUCCUUUCGCUCAGGCCUCAGGUUGGUUUGCGUCCUGCAUGCAGAUCAUGUACUUCUCCUUUGAAUCAUCGUAUCUCCUCAUCUGCUUAUCUCUUCAUUUGAAUUAUUUUAUCUCGUCAACCUGUUCAAAUAUAACUCCAGUAAUUUUAUAUUGGUUGAUACUACCUUCCAGUUUACAAGCCCUGGUCUGGGUCAUGUAGUGGAGAAUCGAGAUGCCAUGUAGAACAAAGAGGCGCUGGUCUGGGCAUAUUUACAAGGGAACCCGCUCUAUGACGGCUAUGUUACAUGCACACCCCCAUUUUUAAGGCUUAGUUACACAAGAGUCUGCUUGCUCUCAUGUUUAGCUGUGUACCCAUUUUGGGGCUUUACUCUUUCAUGAUGGAACGAGGAGCUGGAGUUGAUUUGAGGUAGCGGAUUAAGUAGUGAUGGGCAACCUCAAGUUGACUUGUUUCAUAGGGUAGA
rnacentral:lncRNA from 1 species